rnacentral:rRNA from 1 species
UACGUAGGGUGCAAGCGUUGUCCGGAAUUAUUGGGCGUAAAGAGCUCGUAGGCGGUCUGUCGCGUCGGCUGUGAAAUCCCGGAGCUCAACUCCGGGUCUUCAGUCGAUACGGGCAAACUGGAGUACUGCAGGGGAGACUGGAAUUCCUGGUGUAGCGGUGAAAUGCGCAGAUAUCAGGAGGAACACCGGUGGCGAAGGCGGGUCUCUGGGCAGUAACUGACGCUGAGGAGCGAAAGCGUGGGGAGCGAACAGG